GGCGGACGGGUGAGUAACGCGUGGGUAACCUGCCUCAUACAGGGGGAUAACAGCCGGAAACGGCUGCUAAAACCGCAUAACAUUGCGAUGUCGCAUGACGUUGUAAUUAAAUAUUUAUAGGUAUGAGAUGGGCCCGCGUCUGAUUAGCUAGUUGGUGGGGUAAUAGCCUACCAAGGCGACGAUCAAUAGCCGGCUUGAGAGAGUGACCGGCCACAUUGGGACUGAGACACGGCCCAAACUCCUACGGGAGGCAGCAGUGGGGAAUAUUGCACAAUGAGGGAAACCCUGAUGCAGCGACGCCGCGUGAGUGAAGAAGUAUUUCGGUAUGUAAAGCUCUAUCAGCAGGGAAGAAUAAUGACGGUACCUGACUAAGAAGCCCCGGCUAACUACGUGCCAGCAGCCGCGGUAAUACGUAGGGGGCAAGCGUUAUCCGGAUUUACUGGGUGUAAAGGGAGCGUAGGUGGUUCGGUAAGUCAGAUGUGAAAGCCCGGGGCUCAACCCCGGGACUGCAUUUG
rnacentral:rRNA from 1 species